rnacentral:rRNA from 1 species
UACGGAGGAUGCAAGCGUUAUCCGGAAUGAUUGGGCGUAAAGAGUCCGUAGGUGGUUAUUCAAGUCGAUUGUUAAAGAGCGGGGCUUAACCCCGUAGAAGCAGUGGAAACUGAAUAACUAGAGAGAGGUAGGGGUAGAGGGAAUUCCCGGUGUAGCGGUGAAAUGCGUAGAGAUCGGGAAGAACAUCGGUGGCGAAGGCGCUCUACUGGACCACAACUGACACUCAGGGACGAAAGCUAGGGGAGCGAAUGGG